UCUUCUUCUUCAUCUUUCUUCUUCUCUUUUCUGCUCAUCUCUUCUUUCUCUUCUUUGUUUCUCUUCUGUUGAGAGUUUGUGAGUCGUGCGUACGGAUUUUCUGAGCACAAUCAUUAGAUGAAGAAGGGGUGAUCGUUUUGUAGAACUUUAAUGAAGAAGAUGGUGUUGACAAAUAAUCGAUAAAAGUUUCAGAGACAGAUCAAGAUGCGUACGUGGCGAUGAAAACUUCGAGGAGUUGGUUUCGUUAGUUGGUUAACUUCCGCUAUGUUUAUUUUGUGUUUAUAUUCUAUUUUGUAAACCAACUCACUACUGAAUAUGUAUCACUCGAGAGAAGUUCUUGUAUUUAUUUCUGAGAGGGUUUAGAUUCGGGUUAAUCUUUGUUUAGAGCUUAUUUCUUAGUGUUUUAAAUAGAUGUUUAGAUUGUUAGUGCCUCA